rnacentral:rRNA from 1 species
UUUCGCAAUGCCCGAAAGGGUGACGAAGCGACGCCGCGUGCGGGAAGAAGGCCUUCGGGUUGUAAACCGCUGUCGGGAGUUAAGAAAUGUAAGGAUGUUAAUAGCAUCUUUGCUUGACUAAGGCUCCGGAGGAAGCCACGGCUAACUCUGUGCCAGCAGCCGCGGUAAUACAGAGGCGGCAAGCGUUGUUCGGAAUUAUUGGGCGUAAAGAGCACGUAGGCGGCUAUGUGAGUCGGUUGUGAAAGCCUUCCGCUCAACGGGAGAACAGCAUCCGAUACUGCAUGGCUUGAGUGCGGGAGGGGAGAGUGGAACUUCUGGUGGAGCGGUGAAAUGCGUAGAUAUCAGAAGGAACGCCGGCGGCGAAAGCGGCUCUCUGGCCCAUAACUGACGCUGAGUGUGCGAAAGUUAGGGGAGCAAACGGGAUUAGAUACCCCGGUAGUCCUAGCCGUAAACGAUGGGCACUAAGUAGAGGGGUUUUAAUCUC